AUAGUUCCUGAAACCAUGUGCUUACAAUCCGUCAGAGCACCGUUUGUGUGUGAUGGCGUGCCUUUUGAAGAAUGAGCCUGCGAGUCAGCGGCAUGUCGCGAGGUUAACCCGUGUGGGGUAGCCGUAGGGAAACCGAAUCCUAAUGGGGUGUUAAGUGGCAUGUCCUGGACCCGAAGCGGGGUGAUCUACCCAUGGCCAGUGUGAAGCAGCAGUAAGAUGCUGUGGAGGCGCGAACCCACGUAGGUUGAAAACUGCGGGGAUGAGCUGUGGGUAGGGGUGAAAGGCCAAUCAAACUCCGUGAUAGCUGGUUCUCCCCGAAAUGCAUUUAGGUGCAGCGUCGCAUUAGCUUGGUGGAGGUAGAGCUACUGGUUGGUUGAGCGGGACUACAAUCUUAGCAAUGUCAGCCAAACUCCGAAUGCCAUUAAUGUGUUGUGCGGCAGUGAGACUGUGGGGGAUAAGCUUCAUAGUCGAGAGGGAAACAGCCCAGAUCGCCGGUUAAGGCCCCUAAGGGUGUGCUAAGUGGAAAAGGAUGUGGGAUCGCGAAGACAGCCAGGAGGUUGGCUUAGAAGCAGCCAUCCUUGAAAGAGUGCGUAAUAGCUCACUGGUCGAGUGGUUCUGCGCCGACAAUGUAGUGGGGCUCAAGCACACCGCCGAAGCCGCGGCAAUAAUUUUUGUUAUUGGGUAGGGGAGCGUCGUGCACGUGUUGAAGCGUUACCGUAAGGAGGCGUGGAG
rnacentral:rRNA from 1 species